UGUGUAGGCGGAUUCCUAAGUACCUUGUGAAAUCCCACGGCUCAACCGUGGAACUGCUUGGUAUACUGGGUGUCUUGAGCCACUUAGGGGCUACCGGAACAAAUGGUGGAGCGGUGAAAUGCGUAGAUAUCAUUUGGAACGCCAAUGGUGAAAACAGGUAGCUGGGAGUGUGCUGACGCUGAGACACGAAAGCCAGGGGAGCGAACGGGAUUAGAUACCCCGGUAGUCCUGGCCGUAAACGAUGUCGACUAGAUCGCAGUGCCUCUGACGGUAUUGCGGUCGAAGCAAAAGUGCUAAGUCGACCGCCUGGGAAGUACGGUCGCAAGGCUAAA
rnacentral:rRNA from 1 species